rnacentral:rRNA from 1 species
GACGAACGCUGGCGGCGUGCUUAACACAUGCAAGUCGAGCGGAAAGGCUCCUUCGGGGGUACUCGAGCGGCGAACGGGUGAGUAACACGUGAGUAAUCUGCCCUGUGCUCUGGGAUAGCCACCGGAAACGGUGAUUAAUACCGGAUACAACCACUAUCCGCAUGGGUUGGUGGUGGAAAGUUUUUUCGGCACAGGAUGUGCUCGCGGCCUAUCAGCUUGUUGGUGAGGUAAUGGCUCACCAAGGCUUUGACGGGUAGCCGGCCUGAGAGGGUGACCGGUCACACCGGGACUGAGACACGGCCCAGACUCCUACGGGAGGCAGCAGUGGGGAAUAUUGGACAAUGGGCGGAAGCCUGAUCCAGCAACGCCGCGUGAGGGAUGACGGCCUUCGGGUUGUAAACCUCUUUCAGUACCGACGAAGCGCAAGUGACGGUAGGUACAGAAGAAGGACCGGCCAACUUCGUGCCAGCCGCCGCGGUAAAAC